rnacentral:rRNA from 1 species
UACAGAGGUGCCAAGCGUUAGGCGGAAUCACUGGGCUUAAAGCGCGCGUAGGCGGACGUUUAAGUGUCUUGUGAAAUCCCACGGCUCAACCGUGGAACUGCUGGGCAUACUGGACGUCUCGAGGCACUCAGGGGCGAGCGGAACAAGUGGUGGAGCGGUGAAAUGCGUAGAUAUCACUUGGAACGCCAAUGGUGAAGACAGCUCGCUGGGGGUGUCCUGACGCUGAGGCGCGAAAGCCAGGGGAGCAAACGGG